rnacentral:lncRNA from 1 species
GAAGUUCCAACCAGGAACACAUUUCAAUCAAGGAUUGCAUAAUGGAAGGUAUCAAACAACAUAAACACAUCCUAUAUUAUUACAUUCAUUCAUAUUCAUACAUUUUUACAUCCCAAAUACUUAUUACAUUUAACUUCCAAAUACAAUCCGAUUUAAUAUAAUUAUUACAACUUGAUUCUUUUCAUUUUCUUGCAUCCCUAAGUAAGGCCGACUUAGGGUACCACUAUCUCUGGUCUCGGUGGUAGGGCGCUAACUAUGGAGCUACGCCCUCGCCUCGCGCCGCCGCGCCGCUCACGUGCGAACCUGUAAAAAC